rnacentral:lncRNA from 1 species
UCGCUGUUUGGACCUGGCAUUUCUUUAUGUUGGCCUGGGGUUGGAUGUGUGGUUUGAUGAUGUUGGCCUGGGUUGGACCUGGUAAUUUUGAUGGCCUGGGGUUGGACCUGGUAACUUUGAUAUUGGCCUGGGGUUGGAUGUGUGGUUUGAUGAUGUUGCACUGGUUGGUACUAUUGGGACAAAGUUGAUGAAAUCCUGUGUUGUUUGUGUUAUUUUGAGAUCCUAUGGUGUAAUGAAAAU